AUCUAUCCGACCCGUCUUGAAACACGGACCAAGGAGUUUAUCGUGUGCGCAAGUUUUUGGGUGUUUAUAACCUAAAGGAAAAAGAAAAGAAACUGACUGGUUGAGUAUGAUGUGAGACGUGUUCUUGUAAAAAAGUGCAGCAUGGCCCCAUUCUAACUGUUUACAGUAGGGUGGAGGAAGAGCGUACGCGGUGAGACCCGAAAGAUGGUGAACUAUUCCUGAGCAGGACGAAGCCAGAGGAAACUCUGGUGGAGGUCCGAAGCGGUUCUGACGUGCAAAUCGAUCGUCUGACUUGGGUAUAGGUGCGAAAGACUUAUCCC
rnacentral:rRNA from 1 species